rnacentral:tRNA from 1 species
UCCGGCCGGAGAUAUCGGCUCGGGCGUCCCGCUCCCCGCGCGGGCGCGGAAGUCCGGUCUCGGGAGUCAUGGCCGGGGUUCGGUGUCCUCGGCCGGGAC